ensembl:miRNA microRNA 193a
GAGGGCUGGGUCUUUGCGGGCGAGAUGAGGGUGUCAGUUCAACUGGCCUACAAAGUCCCAGUCCUC